rnacentral:tRNA from 1 species
UAUUUAAUAUUUAUAUAUUAAGUAUUAAGGGGCGGAUGUAGCCAAGUGGAUCAAGGCAGUGGAUUGUGAAUCCACCAUGCGCGA